CAGAAUUAAACCCGGCGCAUGUGUGGACUCCGCUGUCAUCCAAAUGCGGCACGUGCAAGGAUCCAUAAAAUGAAAAUAUUCCUCUGCACAUAUGAUCUCUUCUGCAGCGGAAUGCCUUGGACGUUAAAUUUCUUUCCGAGUGACGCAGUGGGGCAGAUGUAUUCAGGCCAUGCGGCUGGUAUUUUCGACUUUCCUGGAAACUUUUGGGAAGGACUUCUCUGUUGUGCUGAGAGAGCACGGGCACGGGCACAGGCUCUCCCUACAAGCUGUAUCAGCAAGCCGUCCUAGCUCUGCUCCCUAAAAAGGGAAUCUUUCGCCCUCCUGAGGAACUGAUCUGCCCUGCCCAGAUUACAAGAUAUUGUCUAGGUGUCAUACAAACAGACUCAAGCUGCGGCUGGAUGCCUUGAUUCACAAGGACCAGUCAUGCCGUGUGCCUGGUCGGUUCAUAUAUAAUAAUCUCCUUCUAGCAUGUCAGCUGUUUGGUUAGGCAGGACAUCAGGCAGGGGUGUCUAGUAUCAAGGCAGCUCUACACUAGCUCUGCAGGCCUUGCUGUGUUUGUUGUAGAGGGAACUGACAAGAGUCUCUGCAGUGGGGCAGGGGCUAAUUAAAGGCUCCAUAGCAUACUGCUAAUGGAUGGUCAAGACGAGGCCGCUGAGAUGAGAAUAGGCUGUUAAGAGAAGACUUGUGUAUAACCCUGCCCCUAGCAGACCACUGUAGUCGUGAUUUGCAUAAUUUUUUGAGGCGUAAUUUAUCAAAUAUUUUUUGAUCCUCUGGAUGCGAUUGGAUCGCAAAUUCGCAUGACGGAUACCAACUUGGAGAAGUUGUCGGUUCGGCUCACUGAAAUGGGCCAUCAAAUUCGGAUGAUUGGAACAACGCUGAGAGAACCACAGGACUAAAGGUAGAC